UACCCACACAAAGGAAGAACAAUAACAAGCCAAGUUCUUUGACACUUGCUCUCAGCGUGUGACCGAGAAUCUGCAGCCCUCUUGAAUAUCGCGACAACUUAAAGAUCCUGAAUACACGGACCAACCGAACUACCCUCAAUAUAGCCAGCGAGGAAACAUCUGUCUCCGAGUUCGCCAUCGCAAUGCUUAUGUAGAAAGGGAUAAUUGCGAUUAAAUCAAUCACGUUUAAAAUAGAUGUCACGAAUUUCCAUUUGUUCGGUGAACUAAGAAGGCGAACUACAUAUUCAAUGGUGAACCAGCUGAUACAGAGUGCUUCAAUAAUAAAAGGCCCAGAGGUGUACCGAUCCUUGUCCUGCUCUUCCUUGCCAGUACCAUUCCGCUUCAUGUUGUUUUCUUGAAACGAAGGCAGUGUUUCGAUGCAAAAUAAGACAACAGAUAAUAAUAUAAUACUUAUGCUCAAUAUCGCGAUCCCCCUAGCAGCCCUCGAAGUAUCUGGGUGUUCAAACAAUUCCCAAACCUUACACUGGAGUUUAUUUUUGGGUUUCUCGUAUUGCUCUUCGAAUCCAUUGUACCCUUCAGUGGCUUUCCACAGCGCUUCUUGACCAAGCUCAAAGAAUUUCAACUCAUUGACAAAAAUAUUCAUAGGUACGGUAGCUGGCCGUAUUAAGAUACCUUUGGUUUGAUAAUACGUUAAGAUUGCUUCGAAGCAUGUCCUGUUACGAUCAAAGAAGAAUUCGUUGUUCUCAGAGUCCCAGUACCUAUUUCGUUUUGACGCAGAACCGAGCACGCUCUCCGGCAACUGUUCAACAGUAUGUUUAUAAGUCUCAAACCGUAGCCCAGAAACGUUGAUUAUAAAUUUCAUCGGCUGUUCGGUCGAUUGCACGUCUCGAAAUUCGGAGUUCGGUCGAAAUAAACAAAAAUCUCCCAUAUUGCAACUUUCAGUAUCUGUCGUCAUGUUAUUCGGUGGAUGCCUGUGCCAAAACUCGGGACAACCUUGACCAGUUGAAAACCAUCUCUAUCAGAGUUAUACGCUAUAAAAACUCCGCCAACUGCAUUGAAGUGUUUAAACACAACAUGUCGGAAUGUGCAGCUCGAAUUACUACAUUACCAACUGUUCAGCCGGUUUUAUCAAAAUCUCGCACAAAGAUAGGAAUACACACGCGCUCACCAUAGGUAUCAAGGACACAUAGAUUAUGAAUUAUUUGCUGGAAAUUUUUAUGCAUGUGAAGCACAGAUUUAGCAAAAGUUACAGGAUGAAUGUCCGUUUGAACUGUUGUAGUUUGUUUAUUCAAUUAAGUAUAUGUUGACUUCAUUAUGCAAAACAUUAUGCGGGAAAAUUGAAUCUGCUCAGGAAUCUGCCGAUAAGAGACCAUAAAGACGAUUAUUUAAUGCAUUCUGCAGCUGGGAUUCCAGUUAGUCCAAAUGAAAAUAUUCAUUCAUUUUGAAUUAUUUUGAUGUUAAAUUCCCUAACAUUAUACGAAUAUUGGUCAAUACCUAUACACUAUAGCGGAGACUGACACAGAUACUGGCUUUGGCAUUUAAUCAGUCUGCUGGCGGAGAC
rnacentral:lncRNA from 1 species